AUUGAACGCUGGCGGCAGGCCUAACACAUGCAAGUCGAGCGGUAGAGAGAAGCUUGCUUCUCUUGAGAGCGGCGGACGGGUGAGUAAUACCUAGGAAUCUGCCUGAUAGUGGGGGAUAACGUUCGGAAAACGGACGCUAAAUACCGCAUACGUCCUACGGGAGAAAGCAGGGGACCUUCGGGCCUUGCGCUAUAAGAUGAGCCUAGGUCGGAUUAGCUAGUUGGUGAGGUAAUGGCUCACCAAGGCUACGAUCCGUAACUGGUCUGAGAGGAUGAUCAGUCACACUGGAACUGAGACACGGUCCAGACUCCUACGGGAGGCAGCAGUGGGGAAUAUUGGACAAUGGGCGAAAGCCUGAUCCAGCCAUGCCGCGUGUGUGAAGAAGGUCUUCGGAUUGUAAAGCACUUUAAGUUGGGAGGAAGGGCAUUAACCUAAUACGUUAGUGUCUUGACGUUACCGACAGAAUAAGCACCGGCUAACUCUGUGCCAGCAG
rnacentral:rRNA from 1 species